rnacentral:rRNA from 1 species
AAAUUGAAGAGUUUGAUCAUGGCUCAGAUUGAACGCUGGCGGCAGGCCUAACACAUGCAAGUCGAGCGGUAGCACAGAGAGCUUGCUCUCGGGUGACGAGCGGCGGACGGGUGAGUAAUGUCUGGGAAACUGCCUGAUGGAGGGGGAUAACUACUGGAAACGGUAGCUAAUACCGCAUAACGUCGCAAGACCAAAGUGGGGGACCUUCGGGACUCAUGCCAUCAGAUGUGCCGAGAGGGGAUUAGCUAGUAGGUGGGGUAACGGCUCACCUAGGCGACGAUCCCUAGCUGGUCUGAGAGGAUGAUCAGCCACACUGGAACUGAGACACGGUCGAGACUCCUACGGGAGGCAGCAGUGGGGAAUCUGUAUCUU